GAUUAAACAAAAAAUUUCACCACAACAGAGGAAGAAAACACUAAAAAUUCAUUCAAAACCAGACCACAGUUUCUUCUUCUGCUCUGCGAGACAGACGCCGGGAAACCUAAAAUAAACACACCCAGGGAACUUGAAAACUGUAAGGAAUUCGUAUAGAAUGGAUGGGCUGAAAAGCUUACGGAAUUACGCGAAAAGGGUUAGGGAUGAUUCGCCAGAUAGUGAUAGAGCUGGAGAUGAGGAAGAUUGGGAGAGUGGUGAUGAAAGGAAACAUUGGUGAACAAGUCCAGAAAGCACACUAAUGAAGAAGAUGCUGAAGAAUGGGAUAAUGCUGGGAAGAGAAAGAGUACUGGGGAUAGAAGGGAGAGCAGCAAAAGGUCAGGGGGGGUCGAGUAGGGCAGGCAGUGGAGAUGAAGAUGAUUAUGAUGCAAGAAAAGAUGUAAGGUCCAAGCAGCCGAAGAAGUACUAAGAAGAGAGGAGUGACAAGAAAUCAAGCAGUGGAUUUCAGUUUAGAGAAUCACAAAGCAGUAGAAAAAAAAGGUAGAGAUGCUUCAGGAGUAAAAGGUUUGUGGAAGCUGAUGAGAAUGAGAGGAAUUCAUCAUGUAAAUUGAGCUCAAAACCCUCUACUCACUAAAGUUCCCAGUGCAAGACUAGCAUUAAAGUUGAACCUUCUCAUGAUGGAGAGCUUGAUAAGAAUCUUGAUAGAGAUUUUAUGUAUUCUGAAAGGAAAGAAAGAAAGCAGUAGAGAUAAAGUUAAUGGAUCUUGUGUGCAAGAGAGAAAUCCUAGAUGAGAGUUCGAGAGCGAGAACUGUUGAUGCGAGAAAUGAGCAUACUGAUAGCAAAAGAAGGGCUGUUGAUCUAGCCAAAGAUAAAAAGGAACUAAAUCUAGCAACAGGGAAGAUAAAAGGGUUGAUGGGGAGAGGAGUAGGAGCUGAGGCAGGUCUGAGGCUCAAGAAGAAGAAACUAGGAGGGUUCUGUAAGUCGUCAAGAGCGAUCAAGUAGUGAUAUAGAUAAGGGGUUUCUAGAGAAGUCAAGUGGGUUGGAAGAGGAUGUGGAGUCUAUUGCUAAUAGGUUUUAGUAACAGGCCUCAUGGGGCAAAACCUGACACGCAUAAACGACAAUCUGAUCAUGCACAUGGUGGCCAUGUUGCUCUGGAAAGCUGAGAAGGAUCUGUAAAUGCAGAGGGACGGAUAUGCAAGGUCAAAAGAUAGAGUUAAGAGGGAAGUGAGACAGUCUAGAAGGUCACAGAGUCCUGAGAGAGGUGGAAGGUGUUGCGCAGAAUCAGAUGACUUUGGGUCAGACAAUGACAGAAGUACUGGCCACAAGAAUAUGGACAGACAUGAAGGAAGUUAUAGAGAUGAUAGAUCUAAAGGAAGAGAUGGUAGCAGCUGGAGUGAUAAGAAUUGAUAGAAAUUUGGAAGGUCCUAAGGACAGUUGGAAAAAGAAGAACGAUCGCCUGAACAAUAAAGAGAUAACUUAUGGAGAUGGGAUUUUGACCGUAAUAGGGGACGGGAAUCACAGAGGCGAGAAUCGUGAGAGGAUUGACAAUGAAUUGCUUCUACGUCGACCUGUAUAUCGGAGAGUUGCAGACAGGCUUGACAGCGGUUUUUGGUGGAGUUUAUACUUCAUACUUCACUGGGGUUCCUAGUCGUUCCACAGUUUCAGGUUUCAAGUUCAGCAAGGUGGAAGUUCUUGGGCCGAGAAUAAAAAAGAGAUUGCUGCACAUGUGAAGAGAGAUACCUGCCAAUGUUUGUCGCAUUGUGGAUCUUGCCCUACUAUAAUAUUUAUUGGAGCCAGCGUCUAUUUUCUCUUCUCGCUUAUGAACUCUCUCCUAUUGCUAUUGGUUCGGUUAUGCGGGUCGAUAGCUACUGAGGUCCCCAAGCUUGCCUCAGCUGCAGAAUACUUCUUUAAGAUGGGGGUAGAGGGAAGGAGGUUUCACCCCAUGGUUUGAAUUAGUGCGUUUGCAUUACAGCUGUGUUCUAGCAGGAGAUUUUCUGCUUUCUCGGGCUUGUGUGGCACUUGCCUCUCCUAAAAAUACUGAGGUUAUCAUAUUUGCAAGAGUAACAUACUUCCUAUCUGCAGUCUACCAUCACAUUCUCUUUUUUAUCCAAAAACAAAAUAAAAGUGGGAACUUGGGUAAGGAAGUGGAAAUUGGCUCACUGUAGGGGAGGAUAGAAGACCAUGUUAUCCCAUGGACCAAUAUAUGCAACAGACGACAUCCUAUAAAACGGCAUCAUUGAUCGCAAAUAGCUGCAAAGUCAAUCGCUCUUCUGGCAGGCCAGGCAACUGAUGUUGCAAUGCUAGCCUACUACCACGGCCGCAAUCUGGGCUUGGCAUAACAAUUGAUCGCCGAUAUUCUAGAUUUGCCAAGGACAUCACAUCAGCUUCCCCCAGGAAAAGGGCUUAUAACAGUUCCUAUAUUGUUUGCUAUCGAGAAAUUCCCACACCUAAAAGAAUUUAUCAACCGAGGCUUCAACGACCCUGCAGAUGUUGAUCUUGGUUCCCAGAGCAAGAGUAGAAGCAAAGUUGAAGCUUCUCAUGAUGGAUAGCUUGAUAAGAAUCCUGAUUGAGAUUCUAGGUAUUCUGGAAGGUAAGAAAGCAGUAAAGAUAAGUGGAGUCUACUGCUAAUAGCUCUAGUAACAGGCCUCAUGAGGAAAGGACUGACAAACAUAAACAACGGAUAGUGGCCAUGUUGCUUUGGAAAAGCGAGAAAGAUAGAAAGACGUGUAUGCAAGAUCAAGUGAUAGAUUUGAGAGGGGAAAUGAGGCAGUCUAGAAGGUCACAGAGUCCUGAGAGAGGUGGAAGGCGUCACCUAGAACAUGACAGAAGUAUUGGCCACACGAAUAUGGACAGAGAAAAGGAAAGUUACUCUGAUGGAAGAGAUAAUGGCAGCCGGAGCGAUAGGAAAAGAGAUUGGGAAGGUGCCAAAGAGUGUUGGAAAUAGAAGAAUGAUAGCAUGAAAAAAAAAGAAGAUAACAGAAGAAGAUGGGAAUUUGACUGUGAAAGGGAAUGGGAACCACAAAAGGAAGAAUGUGAUAAGAUUGACAGUGAAAUGCUUCUACAUCAACCUGAAUAGGAAAGCUGGAGACAGGCUUGACAGUGGAUGGAGCUUCUGAUUCGACCCUAGUCAUCUCAUCAUUAUUGUAGGGAAGAGUCUGUAUCAAACAUUUGCUGGGAGGAAAACUGAAACUGGACAACAUUCUGAUUUCACUUCAGCAACAAAUGAUGGAAAUUGGACAUAUAUCAUCAGGAGGACGGGGCAAGAACGACUGAUGUUUGCAGUCCCACAGAUAACCAGAAAAGAUAUACAGAUGAUAGUUUGUUUAUGCUUGAUCAGAACUUAAGAAGAACAUGUUAGCUGUUCCGCCUGAUCUUUCACCUGUCUCACCUGAACCUAGAUCCGCUCCCAACAUGGGAACUGGCUCAAAUCCAGGCAUGUUUUUCAAUUAACCAAGCCCUAUGAGAGGAGUAAACCCUGGCAUAUCUGGCCUGGUUUUAACAAUAUGGGAAUAAUGGGACGAGGGAUGCGAACAAGCUUCUGCAAACUGGGGGCUCCUCCGGUAAUUGGUGAGCCUCUUGGUAAAGCUCCUUCAAGAGGGGAGCAGAAUGAUUAUUCUCAGAAAUUUGUUGCUAUUGGUACAAGGCUACAAAAUUUCGUAAAGGAGACGGAGCUAACUAGUGCUGUGCAGAACUAUUCGAAACUCCAAGAAUUUAAUCAAAGAAAAGAAGAAAGACAGAUCGUGGGAAUGUUGUUUCACCUCCCAUGUAUUACAAGUGCGAGUUGCGCGAGUUUGUUCUUUUCCAGACUCCAUAGGAAGAAUAUGUUUAUCGAGCCCCUGAUGUUGCUGACCAUAUGGACUACUGGACAUUUCAAGAAAAAUUAAAUUUAAGAUUGAGAAAAUUGCAGAUACACCCUCCUUCAUCUUCCUGUGGGUUAAUAUGAUGGUGUGGGUCUUGAGCAGGGCAGCUAAUUUCCGAUGAAGGAAGUACACGUUUUCUUGGGAAUUACAGUCCGCUCUUAAGUCAAGGCGAAAGAGGAUGGAGUAAGUCUGAAUUUCAUUGGACCAAACUGUGAUGAGAUUCAACACUUCUGGAGAUGUGAUAUAUCAAUAUGCCAUCUUUUGGAGGAAUGUUGAAGACAAAACAUCGGCAGUAAACACAACCAAGGCAUCUACUAUUUGUGGCAUUCAGAACGGUGGAUGCAGUGAACUACUUGGACGUUUCUACAGUGCCUGUGACCGGUAGGUCCUUGAUUUUUCCACAGAACUUUUGUUGGGUUGGUAUCCAUGGAUAUGUUUGAUCCUGAUGAUGUAGAGUGUGAGGAAGAUGAUGACUCGGGUGGUGAUGAAGACCGAUUGAUGGGGGCUGAUUGGUGACAUGGAUGGUGACCCCGCUGAUAUGAGUCGUGAUGAUGUUGGCAAGGAAGAUGUGGAUGAUGAUGAGGACGAUGACCUUGAUGGGGAGAGAUUUUGGAAGGAUGGUGAAGAUGAUGGGAGAGAUUUUGGUGAUGGGUAGGUGUUGGAGAUUGUGACAGACGGCGAGAAUGACGAUAGACAGAAGCGGGGGAUUUCUCGGGAGCCGCUUCAGUAUUGGUGGCUAUGUAUAAAUUUUUGAUUCAUUAAAAUGGGUUUAGUUACUUCUGUUGGUUUCUUUGUUUUUCUGUAGAUUUUUGUUGCUCCUGCAUAAUCCAAGUGAGUUGUAUAUUUGA